CACGCAUGACACACUGCAUAUCAAUAAGCGGAGGAAAAGAAACUAACGAGGAUUCCCUUAGUAACGGCGAGUGAAGCGGGAAGAGCUCAAAUUUGAAAUCUUCAAGGUUCUACCUUGACGAAUUGUAGUUUAUAGAAGUGUUUUCUGUUAGUAGAGUGGCAAAAGUUCUUUGGAAUAGGACAUCAUAGAGGGUGAGAAUCCCGUAUUUGGUCAUUCUUUCUAGCUUUGUGAUACACUUUCAAAGAGUCGGAUUGUUUGGGAAUGCAGUCCAAAAUGGGUGGUAAGUUUCAUCUAAAGCUAAAUAUUGGCGAGAGACCGAUAGCGAACAAGUACCGUGAGGGAAAGAUGAAAUGAACUUUGAAAAGAGAGUUAAACAGUACGCUGAAAUUGUCAAAAGGGAAGCGUUUGACACCAGUGUUGUUUAGUUGAAAAUCAGUUCAAUAGUUUUUGAUUCUAAGUAGUAUUGACUUCAUCAGCUUGCUGCUUUCUUCUCAGAAAUUAUUGAAUGCACUUUUCAGUUAACAAGUCAACAUCAAUUUCUUUUGUUGUAAAAGGGUAAGAGGAAGGUGGCUUGCGCUUCGGCUCAAGUGUUUAUAGCCUUUGACUUCUGCAAUCGGAGAGAUUGAGGUCUGCAGCGUAGAUCCUUCGGGGUUAGAUACAUUUGUGCUAAGUUAUAGUUUUUCAUAGACAACAUGUUGACUAUGAUUAAUCAUGUAGCUUACUCGCUUAUGCUAUUUUACCUACGCUUAGGAUGUUGACGCGCGUGUGUGCGUG
rnacentral:rRNA from 1 species